GAAGAUAUAGCUCAGUGGUAGAGCACAUACUUAAGCAUGCACAAGGUCCUGGGUUCAUUCCCCAGUACCUCCA
rfam:Camelus ferus unplaced genomic scaffold scaffold757, whole genome shotgun sequence.